rnacentral:rRNA from 1 species
UUGAACGCUGGCGGCAGGCCUAACACAUGCAAGUCGAGCGGUAGCACAGAGAGCUUGCUCUCGGGUGACGAGCGGCGGACGGGUGAGUAAUGUCUGGGAAACUGCCUGAUGGAGGGGGAUAACUACUGGAAACGGUAGCUAAUACCGCAUAAUGUCGCAAGACCAAAGUGGGGGACCUUCGGGCCUCAUGCCAUCAGAUGUGCCCAGAUGGGAUUAGCUAGUAGGUGGGGUAACGGCUCACCUAGGCGACGAUCCCUAGCUGGUCUGAGAGGAUGACCAGCCACACUGGAACUGAGACACGGUCCAGACUCCUACGGGAGGCAGCAGUGGGGAAUAUUGCACAAUGGGCGCAAGCCUGAUGCAGCCAUGCCGCGUGUGUGAAGAAGGCCUUCGGGUUGUAAAGCACUUUCAGCGGGGAGGAAGGCGUUAAGGUUAAUAACCUUGGCGAUUGACGUUACCCGCAGAAGAAGCACCGGCUAACUCCGUGCCAGCAGCCGCGGUAAUACGGAGGGUGCAAGCGUUAAUCGGAAUUACUGGGCGUAAAGCGCACGCAGGCGGUCUGUCAAGUCGGAUGUGAAAUCCCCGGGCUCAACCUGGGAACUGCAUUCGAAACUGGCAGGCUAGAGUCUUGUAGAGGGGGGUAGAAUUCCAGGUGUAGCGGUGAAAUGCGUAGAGAUCUGGAGGAAUACCGGUGGCGAAGGCGGCCCCCUGGACAAAGACUGACGCUCAGGUGCGAAAGCGUGGGGAGCAAACAGGAUUAGAUACCCUGGUAGUCCACGCCGUAAACGAUGUCGAUUUGGAGGUUGUGCCCUUGAGGCGUGGCUUCCGGAGCUAACGCGUUAAAUCGACCGCCUGGGGAGUACGGCCGCAAGGUUAAAACUCAAAUGAAUUUACGGGGGCCCGCACAAGCGGUGGAGCAUGUGGUUUAAUUCGAUGCAACGCGAAGAACCUUACCUGGUCUUGACAUCCACAGAACUUUCCAGAGAUGGAUUGGUGCCUUCGGGAACUGUGAGACAGGUGCUGCAUGGCUGUCGUCAGCUCGUGUUGUGAAAUGUUGGGUUAAGUCCCGCAACGAGCGCAACCCUUAUCCUUUGUUGCCAGCGGUUAGGCCGGGAACUCAAAGGAGACUGCCAGUGAUAAACUGGAGGAAGGUGGGGAUGACGUCAAGUCAUCAUGGCCCUUACGACCAGGGCUACACACGUGCUACAAUGGCAUAUACAAAGAGAAGCGACCUCGCGAGAGCAAGCGGACCUCAUAAAGUAUGUCGUAGUCCGGAUUGGAGUCUGCAACUCGACUCCAUGAAGUCGGAAUCGCUAGUAAUCGUAGAUCAGAAUGCUACGGUGAAUACGUUCCCGGGCCUUGUACACACCGCCCGUCACACCAUGGGAGUGGGUUGCAAAAGAAGUAGGUAGCUUAACCUUCGGGAGGGCGCUUACCACUUUGUGAUUCAUGACUGGGGUG